rnacentral:rRNA from 1 species
GAUGAACGCUGGCGGCGUGCCUAAUACAUGCAAGUCGAGCGAACGGACGAGAAGCUUGCUUCUCUGAUGUUAGCGGCGGACGGGUGAGUAACACGUGGAUAACCUACCUAUAAGACUGGGAUAACUUCGGGAAACCGGAGCUAAUACCGGAUAAUAUUUUGAACCGCAUUGUUCAAAAGUGAAAGACGGUCUUGCUGUCACUUAUAGAUGGAUCCGCGCUGCAUUAGCUAGUUGGUAAGGUAACGGCUUACCAAGGCAACGAUGCAUAGCCGACCUGAGAGGGUGGUCGGACACAUGGGAACUGAGACACGGUCCAGACACCUACGGGAGGCAGCAGUAGGGAAUCUUCCGCAAUGGGCGAAAGCCUGACGGAGCAACGCCGCGUGAGUGAUGAAGGUCUUCGGAUCGUAAAACUCUGUUAGUAGGGAGGAACAUAUGUGUAAGUAACUGUGCACAUCUUGACGGUACCUAAUCAGAAAGCCACGGCUAACUACGUG